GUCACAAGAUAUUUACGUGCCAGAUGAGCUAAAAAUUCAUAUGUCCCUUCAUGCUUCAAUCUCCAUUCCAGUGGACAUGCGUCCAUACUGAUAAUGGGUUCUUCUGAACAACAGUACA